CCCUAAACUCUGUUUCUAUAUGUAACUUCUGAGUAAAACCAUAAAUAAAUCAAAACUUUCAACAACGGAUCUCUUGGUUCUGGCAUCGAUGAAGAACGCAGCAAAAUGCGAUAAGUAAUGUGAAUUGCAGAAUUCAGUGAAUCAUCGAAUCUUUGAACGCACAUUGCGCCCGCCAGUAUUCUGGCGGGCAUGCCUGUUCGAGCGUCAUUUCAACCCUCAAGCCCCCGGGUUUGGUGUUGGGGAUCGGCGAGCCCUUGCGGCAAGCCGGCCCCGAAAUCUAGUGGCGGUCUCGCUGCAGCUUCCAUUGCGUAGUAGUAAAACCCUCGCAACUGGUACGCGGCGCGGCCAAGCCGUUAAACCCCCAACUUCUGAAUGUUGACCUCGGAUCAGGUAGGAAUACCCGCUGAACUUAAGCAUAUCAAUAAGCGG
rnacentral:rRNA from 1 species